AUUUUGUAUGUACCAUAUGAAUAAGGAUCGGCUAACUCCGUGCCAGCAGCCGCGGUAAUACGGAGGAUCCGAGCGUUAUCCGGAUUUAUUGGGUUUAAAGGGAGCGUAGGUGGAUUGUUAAGUCAGUUGUGAAAGUUUGCGGCUCAACCGUAAAAUUGCAGUUGAAACUGGCAGUCUUGAGUACAGUAGAGGUGGGCGGAAUUCGUGGUGUAGCGGUGAAAUGCUUAGAUAUCACGAAGAACUCCGAUUGCGAAGGCAGCUCACUAGACUGUCACUGACACUGAUGCUCGAAAGUGUGGGUAUCAAACAGGAUUAGAUACCCUGGUAGUCCACACAGUAAACGAUGAAUACUCGCUGUUUGCGAUAUACAGUAAGCGGCCAAGCGAAAGCAUUAAGUAUUCCACCUGGGGAGUACGCCGGCAACGGUGAAACUCAAAGGAAUUGACGGGGGCCCGCACAAGCGGAGGAACAUGUGGUUUAAUUCGAUGAUACGCGAGGAACCUUACCCGGGCUUAAAUUGCAACAGAAUAUAUUGGAAACAGUAUAGCCGUAAGGCUGUUGUGAAGGUGCUGCAUGGUUGUCGUCAGCUCGUGCCGUGAGGUGUCGGCUUAAGUGCCAUAACGAGCGCAACCCUUAUCUUUAGUUACUAACAGGUCAUGCUGAGGACUCUAGAGAGACUGCCGUCGUAAGAUGUGAGGAAGGUGGGGAUGACGUCAAAUCAGCACGGCCCUUACGUCCGGGGCUACACACGUGUUACAAUGGGGGGUACAGAAGGCGGCUACCUGGUGACAGGAUGCUAAUCCCAAAAACCUCUCUCAGUUCGGAUCGAAGUCUGCAACCCGACUUCGUGAAGCUGGAUUCGCUAGUAAUCGCGCAUCAGCCAUGGCGCGGUGAAUACGUUCCCGGGCCUUGUACACACCGCCCGUCAAGCCAUGAAAGCCGGGGGUACCUGAAGUACGUAACCGCAAGGAGCGUCCUAGGGUAAAACUGGUAAUUGGGGCUAAGUCGUAACAAGGUAGCCGUACCGGAAGGUGCGGCUGGAACACCUCCUUUCU
rnacentral:rRNA from 1 species